rnacentral:sRNA from 1 species
GAAGCUGAAUUUCCGGCUCGUUGGCCUUCGACAGCAUCGACCGCACCUCCAGGGCACGGUCGUGCAUGACACGGAAGUCCU